AUUAACCUCCUGUGCUGAGAGGAAAUGCUGGACGAUCAACAGUCACUCAGAUUACAGCCUGGAGCUGUUGUGAAACCUGCACUCAGAGGAAGAUUCCAGCCGAGAUAAAACAAGAACAGAAAUCAGACAGAACAGAGACACAAACACGACGCUAACCUGCAGCGCGGAGUGCAGUUUUGUAAAGGACGUAGCGCCAAAGAGAGAGAGGAGAAGAGAGAGCAAUUAUGAUACACUUCCCGUUACUGCCCAAGCUGGACGAUGAACAGAAGAAACGGGGCUAAUUGCUGCAGUUCAGCUGGUGCAGCCUUUACUUAACAAAGAUUUCUCAGUCUGAGCACUGAGCGUGAAAACAGCACGUGGAAAUAGGUGAGCAGCGACGCCACGAGACGCAGCAAAACACUUUUGGAGUGACGCUGAAACAAAAUACAUGCUUGACGAAAUGAAGGAUUUAAAUACUCUUCAUCGUCUAGAUCAUGUAUGGUCAUAUUUUCAGGACGAUCUUUAUGCCCUGGUGGUGCCCAGCUGUCAUGGAAGUAGGUGAUGAAGAAAGCAGUGAUUCACUUUUUCCAGUGUUGUGGUCACUGUGGGAGAAGUCAUCAACUUUCACAUUGAAAAAAGAUCAGUCAGGGGUUUUUUCUGCUAUUAAACAUAGUGGUGAGUCAUUUUUGACCCUUAGGACAUCACAAGGGCUAGCAGGAAAAAUGUGACCCCUAACAACCACCUGGAAGAGCUGGUCAACACCAAAACUGCCCCCAUCAGAUAAACAGCACUUAAAGCUUUCAUCUCUGAGAGAGAGGAGAA